rnacentral:rRNA from 1 species
AGAGCGAACGCUGGCGGCAGGCCUAAUACAUGCAAGUCGAACGGAUCCUUCGGGAUUAGUGGCGGACGGGUGAGUAACACGUGGGAACGUGCCCUUUGGUUCGGAACAACUCAGGGAAACUUGAGCUAAUACCGAAUGUGCCCUUCGGGGGAAAGAUUUAUCGCCAUUGGAGCGGCCCGCGUCUGAUUAGCUAGUUGGUGAGGUAAAGGCUCACCAAGGCGACGAUCAGUAGCUAGUCUGAGAGGAUGAUCAGCCACACUGGGACUGAGACACGGCCCAGACUCCUACGGGAGGCAGCAGUAGGGAAUCUUGCGCAAUGGGCGAAAGCCUGACGCAGCCAUGCCGCGUGAAUGAUGAAGGUCUUAGGAUUGUAAAAUUCUUUCAGCGGGACGAUAAUGACGGUACCCGCAGAAGAACGCCCCGGCUAACUUCGUGCCAGCAGCCGC